GACGAACGCUGGCGGCGUGCUUAACACAUGCAAGUCGAACGGACAGACAGAGAGCUUGCUCUCUUGAAGUUAGUGGCGAACGGGUGAGUAACGUGUAAUCAACCUGCCCUUCAGAGGGGGAUAACAACGGGAAACCGUUGCUAAUACCGCGUACGAUUCAUGAACGGCAUCGUUUAUGAAUGAAAGGUGGCCUCUAUGUAUAAGCUAUCGCUGAAGGAGGGGAUUGCGUCUGAUUAGCUGGUUGGAGGGGUAACGGCCCACCAGGGCAAUGAUCAGUAGCCGGUCUGAGAGGAUGAACGGCCACAUUGGGACUGAGACACGGCCCAAACUCCUACGGGAGGCAGCAGUGGGGAAUCUUCCGCAAUGGACGAAAGUCUGACGGAGCAACGCCGCGUGAGUGAUGAAGGUCUUCGGAUUGUAAAGCUCUGUUAAUCGGGACGAAAGAGUUCUGCGUGAAUAAUGCAGAAAAGUGACGGUACCGGAGUAGAAAGCCACGGCUAACUACGUGCCAGCAGCCGCGGUAA
rnacentral:rRNA from 1 species